ensembl:lncRNA novel transcript
GUUUACCUGGCUAAGGCAUGACACCGCUUCCCUUUCAGAUUCCGGUGCAGUCCUCUGACCAUAUUGGGAAGGAUAUGUAAAAUGAUACGAGUUUCAGGGAAUAAGAAUGGGGGUGAGAGGAAUCACUGAGGAUGCCCAAGGACAAAGCAGCCGGAACAAGACAGAGUUUCUCUUGUUGCCCAGGCUGGAGUGCAAUGGCGUGAUCUUAGCUCAUCGCAACCUCUGCCUCCCAGGUUCAAACAAUUCUCCUGCCUCAGUCUCCUGAGUAGCUGGAAUUACAGUUUAUAGCUCAGCAGUCCCAAGAUGGCCGAAUAGGAACAGCUCCAGUCUACAGCUCCCAGCGUGAGUGAUGCAGAAGAUGGGUGACUUCUGCAUUUCCAACCAAGGUACCGGGUUUAUCUCACUGGGGCUUGUUGGACAGUGGGUGCAAUCCACGAAGUGUGAGCCAAAGCAGGGCGGGGCAUCACCUCACCCAGGAAGUGCAAGAGGUCGGGGAAUUCCCUUUCCUAGCUGAGGGAAGCCAUGACAGAUGGUACCUGGAAAAUCGGGACACUCCCAUCCUGAUACUGCACUUUUCCAAAGGUCUUAGCAAAUGGCACACCAGGAGAUUAUAUCCCACGCCUGGCUCAGAGGGUCCCACGCCCACGGAGCCUCGCUCACUGCUAGCACAGCAGUCUGAGACUGAACUGCAAGGUGGCAAUGAGGCUGGGGGAGGGGGGUCCACCAUUGCUGACGUUUGAGUAGGUAAACAAAACACUCCAGCCUGGGCGACGGACUGAGACUCUGUCUC